UACGGGGGAGGCAAGCGUUGUUCGGAUUUACUGGGCGUAAAGGGCGCGUAGGCGGUCAGCACAAGUCAGUUGUGAAAUCUCCGGGCUUAACUCGGAAAGGUCAACUGAUACUGUGCGACUAGAGUGCGGAAGGGGCAACUGGAAUUCUCGGUGUAGCGGUGAAAUGCGUAGAUAUCGAGAGGAACACCUGCGGCGAAGGCGGGUUGCUGGGCCGACACUGACGCUGAUGCGCGAAAGCCAGGGAGCGAACGGG
rnacentral:rRNA from 1 species